GUGAUCCUCCCACCUUGGCCUCCCAACGUGCUGGGAUUACAGGUUUAAGCCACUGUGCCUGGCCUUAAAAAUUGUUAACUAUUAAAAAUUACUAUAUAAGCUGGGUGCGGUGGCUCAUACCUACAUUUCCUACUACUAGGGAGGCUAAGGUGGAAGGAUCCCUUGAGCUCAGGAGUAUGAGGCUGCAGUGAGCGACGAUUGUGACCCUGCACCCCCAUUGCACUCCAGCCUGGGCAACAGAGUGAGACUUCAUCUUUAAAAAACCCACUAUAUAAGUAUAUUAAAUUAAUAAUUAACAUAGAACUUAAAAGUGAAUUAAAAAUAAGAAUAAUGCUCUUAAAUUGAUUAUUUUUUUAUGUCCUAAAGAUUUGCUUAGUGCAUUCAACAAUAACAUGAUCUGGAGAAAGGCCCCAUUUUGGAUUCUACAAGCAUUUCUAGUGAUAGACGUGGAGACUAGGAGAGAAUAUACCAAAUUGCAAUGUAUCCAAGUACUCUGAGAGACCAACUCCUACAGAUCCAGGAAGGGUGCCAUUCCCUCUAAGGACACUACUGAUAAGAUCUGGCCCACCCAGGAUCAUCUUUCUAUCUUCAAGUGAACUGAUUUGGGACAUUAUUCACAUCUACAAAAUCCCUUCACAGGAGCACCUAAGUUUCGUGUUUGAACAGCUGGAAAAAGAUUCUAUGUAA
rnacentral:lncRNA from 13 species